rnacentral:misc_RNA from 1 species
AUUUUUUUUUAUUCUUCAUCUUCGUCUUCACUCUGCUUUUACUCAAGCAAAUUAGGUCAGAAUUUUGAUCGAGAAUAGGAGAAAAAAAGGUGAAGAUGAAGUGAAUUGAAGACAAAAGCAGCCGUUUGGUGGCUUUCUUCAGGAGGCAAAAUAGAUUGGCGAAGAAGGCUCGCGAACUCUCCGUUCUUUGCAAUGUUGAAAUCGGUGUAAUCAACUUCUCUAGCAUCGACAAUAAUCUCUACAAGUUCUGUAGCAAUGACAGUUUGGUAAAGAUUCUCAAAGAAUAUCAGAGGCAUCUUGAAGGGGUAGCUACAUUUGUUGGGUCAAGUUUGUAGUGCGGUUGUUGUAAGAAGACUUUCUCUCGUUCUACUCAUGGCUAAACCAAGGAUGAAUUUGAGGAGAUCAAGCCAUUAAGGGAUGAGUCCUUGAAAGCCUUAAAUGUAGAUUUCCUGGAGACUCUAGGAAUUGCAAGAGUUAGCGACCACAGUCUACCAUUAUCCAAAAUAGCACCUGUACAAGUUGUACAUAUAGAAUAGGAGAGGUGAAACUUCUAUUGUCGUUGGUUCCUUCUUUUGGGAGAAACAUAUUAAGUAGGCUGUUACAUUUUUUAUAUUGGAUAUGUAGUUUAUUUUCUUUGCCGUACUUGCUUCAAUGUUAUUCUUUAUAUUGGAUUAUUAUGAAUAUGUUAUAUUGUUAUUAUUAUAAAAUUUCAUUUCAUUUUCACUGUUAUUAAAUUUCAUCUUUAGAAAUGCGUUGAGGAGGAGGUUUCGCACCUCAGGCAACAUAGUGAAUAGCAGUUUCGCUGUAUCCAGGAGGAGAUGAGGUGUAUGAUGAGACAGAUGACAUUAUCAUCCUCCUCUUCAAGUGAUUCUAUUGAUCCCUAUAAUCAGAGCAUAUUGAAUCUAUAGCUUGAUAUUGUUUAUAUAUAUUUGCUAAUUGA